GCUGACACACGCCGGGGUGCCGUUGGCCUUCUUGGCCACCUGGGCACACUGCUGGCUCACGCUCAGCCGGCUGUCAGCUAACGGCCCCACAGCCUUUGCCUCCGCACAGCUUGCCAGCCACUGCCCCAAGGCUGCAGCGCUGCGUGGGGCUGCUGUGGCCAAAGCGCAGCACCCAGCGCUUGGGCUUGAUGAACUUCCUCCCAUUGCCCUCCAGGCUGUCCAGAUCCCUCUGUAAGGUCUUCUGUUCUCAAGCAGAUCAACAUUUCCCUCCAACUUGGAGUCAUCUACACACUUACUGAGUGUGCGCUCAAUCCCCUCAUCCAGAUCAUCUAUAAAGGCAUUAAACAGGGUUAACCCCAGUGCCAACCCCUGGGGAACACCACUCACAACCAGCUGCCAGCAGGAUGUGACUCCAUUCAUCACCACGCUCCAAGCCUGGCCAUCAGAGUACACCUAUCCAAGUCACGGGCUGCAGCUCCUGAAGGAGAAUAAUGUGGGAGACAAAGGUGAAGGCUUCGCUAAAGUCCGGAUAGACUGCAUCAGCAGCAGUUUCCCUCAUCCUUUCCCUCAUUCACCAGAUCACUUUGGUUUCUGUGUGGGUGGCUCACGCGCGCAGAGGUUCGAGGGUAAACGUCUCACAAGAACAGGAUGUCCUUUGCACCCAGACCGUAUCGUGGUGCGUUUUGGGGGUCAGUGAGUGUCCACACCCCAGCAUUCUCCCCAGGACUGCCCUCUCUCUCACACGCCGCAGCCCCCUGAAGCCCAACAGCCGUAUGGAUGGAACCCACCUCAACUGAUGAGCAGAAGGCUGUGGGAUAAGCACAGCCCUGCAAGCACCUCCACAUCGGUGAUGGCACUGCUGGCUGAUGGGAUGGGCUGCAAUGGGCUUCAUUCUGCUCCAUACCGGAAUGGAAAAAGACGACUUCUGCUUCUCCAGCCCAUUGUGAUAACUGGCAUUUCACACAAA